GGCGAAUUCCAAGUAUAUUCCGUUGAUAUUAUUUUUCUUGGUCUGUCAGCAUAAACUGUGAAGAUGGAGUGAGGUUGAGCCAAGUCAUAGCCAGAUCAUUAUCAACUUGUACUUGUAGUCAUGGUAAUAUGGUUGAUCAAAGAAAAUGAUGAACUGAACUUUUUAAACUGUCCUUGAUGCCUGGUGUGUGCACAAGUAGAUGAGUGCCGUUCAUCGCCGCCGUCUUUCUGGACCUUCGCUCAUCGCCGUCGUCUAUCGGGGCCUGCAAUUCGGUCGUCGCCGUCUGCCGGGGCCAGCCAGCUCCAGAUUGAUUCCUGCCUAUCGCCGCCGUUUGCGGGGACCUGCAAUGUCGCUGCCGUCGUCAGCCAGAGAAGCUGGGCACAAUCAUCGAAGAGCAGUGUUCUCCGCCGUUCGAGUUCGAGAGCUGUGUAAUGUAUAUCAUUUGUUGUCGCCUGUCAGUCCCUAGUGGAGUUCUCAUGUGCCGUCCGUCGACUGGCGAGUCCCAUGAUAUGACAUCUGAGGGUCACCCACCGGCCACCGUUUACCGGCGACUCUGAGGGCCGUCAGCCCCGAGUCCCUAGAUAUCCUCAGCUCGCACCAUGCAGCAGUCUCUGUCGCAUCUGGAGUGUAGUCUAUUCUAAUAUGCUUGAUGCAUUGCGCUGCUUCUUGUGUAAAUCUAGUGGGAAACUUGGAAAUUGUUAACAACGGUAUAUGUGCGAAGUG